rnacentral:rRNA from 1 species
UACGGGGGGGGCAAGCGUUGUUCGGAAUUACUGGGCGUAAAGGGCUCGUAGGCGGCCAACUAAGUCGGAUGUGAAAUCCCCAGGCUCAACUUGGGAACUGCAUCCGAUACUGGAUGGCUUGAAUUCGGGAGAGGGAUGCAGAAUUCCGGGUGUAGUGGUGAAAUGCGUAGAGAUCCGGAGGAACCCCAGAGGCGAAGGCGGCGUCCUGGCUCGCAACUGACGCUCAGACACGACAGCAUGGGGAGCGAACGGG